rnacentral:rRNA from 1 species
GACGAACGCUGGCGGCGCGCUUAACACAUGCAAGUCGAGCGGUAAGGCCCUUUCGGGGGUACGACGAGCGGCGAACGGGUGAGUAACACGUGGGUGACCUGCCCUUAGCUCUGGGAUAAGCCUGGGAAACUGGGUCUAAUACCGGAUAUGACUCCAUGACGCAUGUUGUGGGGUGGAAAGCCUUGUGCGGCUAGGGAUGGGCCUGCGGCCUAUCAGCUUGUUGGUGGGGUGAUGGCCUACCAAGGCGACGACGGUAGCCGGCCUGAGAGGGCGACCGGCCACACUGGGACUGAGACACGGCCCAGACUCCUACGGGAGGCAGCAGUGGGGGAAUCUUGCGCAAUGGGCGAAAGCCUGACGCAGCGACGCCGCGUGGGGAUGACGGCCUCGGUU